rnacentral:rRNA from 1 species
AGAGUUUGAUCAUGGCUCAGGAUGAACGCUGGCGGCGUGCCUAAUACAUGCAAGUCGAACGCGAGCAGCAAUGCUCGAGUGGCGAACGGGUGAGUAAUACAUAAGUAACCUGCCCUAGACAGGGGGAUAACUGCUGGAAACGGCAGCUAAGACCGCAUAGGUAUGGACACUGCAUGGUGACCAUAUUAAAAGUGCCAAGGCACUGGUAGAGGAUGGACUUAUGGCGCAUUAGCUGGUUGGUGAGGUAACGGCUCACCAAGGCGACGAUGCGUAGCCGACCUGAGAGGGUGACCGGCCACACUGGGACUGAGACACGGCCCAGACUCCUACGGGAGGCAGCAGUAGGGAAUUUUCGGCAAUGGGGGGAACCCUGACCGAGCAACGCCGCGUGAAGGAAGAAGGAAUUCGUUCUGUAAACUUCUGUUAUAAAGGAAGAACGGCGGAUAUAGGGAAUGAUAUCCGAGUGACGGUACUUGACUAAGAAGCCCCGGCUAACUACGUGCCAGCAGCCGCGGUAAUACGUAGGUGGCGAGCGUUAUCCGG